UACGUAGGGGGCAAGCGUUGUCCGGAUUCAUUGGGCGUAAAGGGUGCGUAGGUGGCGGGGUAAGUCAGGUGUGAAAUCUCGGAGCUCAACUCCGAAACUGCACUUGAUACUGCCUUGCUCGAGUACUGGAGAGGAGAUUGGAAUUUACGGUGUAGCAGUGAAAUGCGUAGAUAUCGUAAGGAAGACCAGUGGCGAAGGCGAAUCUCUGGACAGUUACUGACACUGAGGCACGAAGGCCAGGGGAGCAAACGGG
rnacentral:rRNA from 1 species